rnacentral:rRNA from 1 species
GAACGCUGGCGGCAGGCCUAACACAUGCAAGUCGAACGGUAGCACAGGAGAGCUUGCUCGUCUGGGUGACGAGUGGCGGACGGGUGAGUAAUGCAUGGGGAGCUGCCCAAUCGAGGGGGAUACCAGCUGGAAACGGCUGCUAAUACCGCAUACGCCCUGAGGGGAAAGUGGGGACCUUCGGGCCUACCGCGAUUGGAUGCACCCAUGUGGGAUUAGCUAGUUGGUGGGGUAAAGGCUCACCAAGCCGACGAUCUGUAGCUGGUCUGAGAGGACGACCAGCCACACUGGGACUGAGACACGGCCCAGGCUCCUACGGGAGGCAGCAGUGGGGAAUUUUGGACAAUGGGCGCAAGCCUGAUCCAGCAAUGCCGCGUGCAGGAAGAAGGCCUUCGGGUUGUAAACUGCUUUUGUACGGAACGAAACGGUCUGCCCUAAUACGGUGGGCUAAUGACGGUACCGUAAGAAUAAGCACCGGCUAACUACGUG